UAUAGAAAAAAUAUACUAUUCUCAAAUUGUUAAAAGAAUGGCAGUAUUAAUUAAAACAGAACAAAAGAAAUAUCAGUACACACAACCAUGGGAUGAUUCUGAUGUAGUUUUAUUUGCUGAGAACGAAAGAUUUUAUGUACAUUCAAGCAUUCUUCGUUUCACAUCUCCUGUUUUUAUAUCAAUGUUAUCCUCCAAUGUAGAAGAAGAAAGUGAGAAGGUGAUUAAUUUACGUGAGAAAAGAAAAAAGAUAUUUUGAAUCUUUUAAAUAUAAUUUAUCCAGUUGAUUUUGCAGUUAGAGAAGUCAAACUGAUAUACUAUCGUCAACACACGGCAAUCGCCCUAUUAAAGAAGACAUAAUACUUUUUUUAAAAGACACACAAAACUCGUACACACUUUGGAGAAUGAAAAUAUGACUGGAAAGAAGGCAGAACACAAAUGAUACAGUAGGAUAUUCAUCUUAUGAAGGUCUGCUGAAAUUGGGACAAGAGUUUGAUAUCAAAAGAAUCUCACUUUCAGUGGAUGUUUUUCUCUGCUCCGUCAAUUUCAACUACUCUUUCAAUGUAUUUCAAUUGGCUGAAAUAUUUAGGCUCCCAAAUACCCAAAAGAGGUAUAUAUUAAUUAUUAUAUAAAAGACUGCAACGAUUUUGGUAUUGAUUGGAGCGAAAUUUCUGCUUAAUCCAAGUUGAAAAUGAUAUGUGGGAGAAUUCAGGCAAUAACAACUAGCACAUCAAAACAUUGCAGCUCUUGUAAAUCGACGAGUUCUGAUUGCGAACAUUACCUACAAGACGUAGUUCGCAUAAAAGACUUUUUCAGCCUUCAGGGAAGUGCAAAGGCGUUUUCAGAAUCAUAUAACAUUAUAGCUAAUUGUGAUAUGUAUUAUAAUAAUGACAUUAAUAUGAUACAGAUAUUUGAGACAAGCUUGUAUCAAAACGUUUUGUAAAAAGUAAUCACUUAAUUUGUUGUAACUAGCUAUAUUCAGCAAUCAAAAUAUGUUCUUGUGUAUAGUAGUACAUAGCGUGACAACAUUAAUUUACGUGUUCUUUAAUAGCGCUUUAAAAAUUAUUCGCCAAUGUAUUUCCAACAUCUGCCAAUUCCUCCUUUAAGUAAUGAGUUUUUAUUUCAAUUUAUUUGAAUAUUCUAACAAGUUUUGUUAUAUAUAUACCUUAAUACUACUUAAGUAUUACGGAUUGUGAUUUUCUUGCUUUUUGCAGAAUUUGUCAAAAUUCGGAAAUUAGGAAUCAGUAAAAUACUUUGUAAGGUGCCAUUCACGAGAAUUAAAAUUUGCAAGAAAAACCCACGAAAAUUUAAUAAUUAGUGAAUGUUUAACCUCAGUAAACAAGAGUAAAAUUUUAUACACAAGGCAAGAAAAGCAAAAAAUGAACGUUGUCGUGUCGUUGAAACUGUAACUUUGUAAAUAUUCUAUUGAGAGACGUUCUCCAGUCAAGAUUGCUCACCCACCUAUGCGCAAGCACGUGGAUUGAUACAACUAAAUUCGUCACUAGGCCUCUUGAUGUUUCGUUAGAAGAGCACACAAAUUGAUAACAAAUUCCUUCCGAAUUGUCUUUACUGCACCUAAAAGUAUUUUGUACACACACGAUUGGUGCCUGAUGUCAAACGUGCAUAUAAUUUUUUGUGACCUGCUUUGUUAUUUUUCUGGUGAAGAAAUAUAAAUGAAUAUGCACGUAAAUUUUUCGCAAUGUUCCUUUUCUUAAAAAAAUAAAAUUUCUUCAUAUGUAGUCUGUAUCAGUCUCUCUUUGAGCUGGGGGCUUUUAAUUAUUUUUUCAUUUUCUUAUUGCGAAAAUAAAUAGGUUUAAGAACCUUGGUUAGCUCGUAUGCUGUUACAGUAAAGCAAAAUUUAUUUCGAUUGCUGUUUUGCGAGGUAGUAUACGUAUAUUAUACGUCUUGUUCAUAUUGCAUUGCAUGCCUUUUUGCUUUGUUUCUGCAAUUUUAAGGCAUAUAUAUUAUUUCUAUUAUUAUCCUAAUAUUAUAAAAGAAAUAGAUAUUCUCGCAACGGCCAAAUAUACCUACGUUUAAUUGAUUUUUAGUGUCUUAAUAUAAAAAGAAUUGUUCGCUUGCUGUAAUUGAGCAAAAACGGAAAAUGGGACAAGAGUAAAAGAACACAAACCUCAGUAUUCAGAAUCAUGGGACGAUUCAACUUGGUUGAUUCAGAUGUGACUUUAUUUGUUGGAGAUGAAGAGUUGCAUCACGUCACCAGCUUUUCAAAUCAUGUUGUCAUCUAAUUUUAAAGAAAGAAAAAAGAAGGUUGCUAGGGAAAAUUAAAAGAGAUAGUGUAAUUAAGUAUAAUUUAUCCAGCUCACUUUAUGAUUACAGGUUAAUAAAAAAAAGCUCGUAGUAAAAACACCUAAUAAGGCAACUAAUUCAGUAUAGAAUUUAUUUACUGAAAAAGUACUUGGUGGCUUAUUUGAUAAUUUAUGACUGCAUUGCAAUGUGUUUAUUACAAAAUGUUUAUUUCAUCUCACAAUUCUUGCGGUUAACAAUGUGUUUUAUAUUUAUACAGCUAUGUCAAAUAAAAUUUCACCUGAAAAUGCAACAUGAAGAAAACAUUACCAAUGCUUAAUACCAGACUUUUUGGCCAUUAUAAGUAUGACAACUACCUGGCAAGAAAUCCUUGGAUUAAUCGGUCCGAACGAUUGUGGACAAAUAAAGAUUAGUACCGGAUUAGUACCGGUUUCUUUUAAAAAUGUGUUUAACAAUUGAUACCAUUGUGUAUAUGCGCUGAAACGAAAAUGUCUGGGAACAACUUAUAUUUUUCCCAUUGUUCUUCUGCCGUGGAUUUUGCACGGACUUAUCGACUAGUAUUAUAAUUGUCUUUUUUUAGAUAGACUAAGUGGAUCAAUGCAAUUCGAAUCAGCAAAAAAACUCUUUCAUUCUCAAUUUCAUCAAUUUCAGAAGCCUCCACUACUCCCCACGGAAAUAUCUGUGGGCGUAAACGUUUGCCUGACGUUUCUGUUAUAAAAUUAAAGUUUUUCAAAUUUUUUAAUUGCUGAGAAUAUGAGCAAAAAGUAACAUAAGAGUGACGAAGAAUCAUAUAUUUAUAAUCAAUUAAAUAUUUCAUAUUGCCUCAGCAUUACCCAAAAAUAUACCCAAAUUGUUUUGAAAAUGUUUUAAUAGGUAGGAGCGAAAAAUUACCAGCCUGUACUAAUUCAAAAGUUGUUUCACAGUCUGAGACCAUACACGAAGCAAUAAACUACUCUCUACUUAGUUUAAAACAAGGUGAACGCAAUAAAAGUUGCUUCUGUUAAUUGAGAAAUUCUCUACACAAUAUCUUCAAAUGUGUAAAGCCUUUUUAUAAAAACAAGGUGCUUAAAAAAAGAAACUUGGGUCUAUAAUAAAUGGAUUAGAAAUAGAAAGUUGUAAAAGUUGUAUUUUCAGGGUUUGAUUUUGAAAGAACAAAGGAAAGCCAUAUUUGAAAGUGGAAUGCUAUAUCUAAUAACAAAUAAUUCCUAGGUAAAAUAUCGAGAAAUAAUGACAGAUGUUGCUCGUACAGAAACUUUUGUCACUUAAUUUGUAGCUGUGGUUCUUGGCAAAUAUUGAGUGUACAAUUCUGCAUAUUUAUUUAAAUAAACUUGUUUGUUUAUUUUCUUGUAGUUUGAUAUUUGAUUUCGGUGCAUUUGUAUAUUUGUGUCGCCUAUGAAGUCUUUAAAACGUCACAGCGAUUUUAUGCCUGAUUAGUGCUAUAUAAAAAAUAUAUAUAUUUACUAUAUUAUAUAUAAAAUUAUGCAUUUACUUUAUUUCUUUUAUCAUUUAUUAUUUUUGAUUUAUUUUGCAAAUUAUCCCUGUUAUUUGAUGUUAGUGAUUCAUUUAAUGUUAUUUUGUAAUUUUUUUUUUUAAAUAAUCACACACAUUUUUCUUAUUUAGAUGGGUGUAGAAUAAACUUCAUCUAUGCUUGCAGACUAAAACGAGUGAUGCUCAAUACGAUUUAAUUUAAAAAAAAUUCUAUUAGUUUCCAUAUGCCACCAACUAAUAUUGAUAUUGGUGAAGGACGAAAUUUUACUUACGUUAUAUGCUUUCGAAACCAUGAUAUCAUGAAGUCUUAAUCAACAGCAAUUAUGCUCUAUUAAGAUAAUUACAGAAUACUUUACUUCUGAAGCAGUGCCGUAACCACCGGGGGGGCAGGGGGGCCCGCCCCCCCCCCCAUAAUUUUUUCAAAGAUGGUUAUGACAAGUUAAGAAAAACGUUUUGUCUUAUGUCUAAAGACCAUUUGUUAUAUAUAAACAAACUAAACACUUAUUGAGAAUGAUUUAUAACCGAUUUCCACUCUUUUAUUUAUUUAAAACGCGUGACUCUUAUACUUGCUGCAUGGAAAUGAUGAUGAAAUUGGAUGGAAACUACAUUCUGAUAGUGUUUGCUGCAUGGAAAUGAUGAUGAAAUUGGAUGGAAACUACAUUCUGAAAAUAGUGUUUGUGAGAAGACGAGAACGAGUUGGACUGACUUCAAAAAAAAAAAAAAAAGAAACGUGUAAGAAUAUAGAAUUAACAAAGUAACAGACUAAUUUGAAAAAGAGUGAAAAUGCCGAAGAAAACAAGUGAUUUAUCAAAAUGGCUCAUUAGACCUGAAAAGUAAGUGACUUAUUAAUAAAUAAAUAUUUAAUUACUUUGUUAACCCCACCACUGCUUUUUAAUUCAUCCCAUAACUGUUAUCCAAGCAACCUUUACACUUGUUUUGCUUUUCAGACGAACAAACGAAGAAGCAACAACAACACCUACAACGACGACACCUACAACGACAGCACCAACCAACCCGGAGAAUAAUUUUAAGGAAACAACGAGUGAUCCAUCUAAACCGAACCAACCUCGUUCUUUGAGUUUUCCAAAAACAACGUUUGGUAAAGAUCCGAAACAAAGAUCGUUUAACCCAACAUGGUUUGACAAGUUCCUCUGGUUACAUUACGACCAAAAUAAAGACGCUGCUUUUUGCUUUACUUGUUUCAGUGCUCUUAGAAAAAGCAUGAUUUCUGCAACAAAAGCAGAGACAGUUUUUACUGAAACCGGCUACCGAAAUUGAAAAAAGGCGCUUGAAUCUGGAAGAGGAUUUUCUAAACACGAAUGUAGCGACUCCCAUAAAGAAGCCACUGAAAGACUGAUUACUGCGCCAGGUACAUCAAAGGACAUUGGUGAAAUCAUGGUAGAUAAUCUUGCAGCCACAAAGGAAAGGAAUAGACGAAUGCUGUUAAAACUGUUGCAAAGCGUUCGAUAUCUAGGGCGACAAUCACUUCCGUUUAGAGGCAAUUGGGAUGAGGAAACACACAGCGAGUUGAAUUCGAACUUCCACCAGUUACUUUUACUCCGAUGUGAAGAUGAUAAGGAACUGAGUGCAUGGCUUGCAAAAAAGCAAAACUACACGUCACCGGCUAUUCAAAACGAAAUGCUGCGAAUCGAAGCACUUAGUAUUUUACGUGACAUUGCAAAAAAUAUUCAGUCAGCUGAGAUUUUCACAAUCCUUGCAGAUGAAACAGGGGAUGUCUCAAAUACGGAACAACUUGUCAUUUGCAUUCGGUGGGUUGAUGAUGAAUUACAGGCUCACGAGGAGUUCAUUGGCCUCCAUCCACUACCUGAUACUAGUGCUGACCAAAUCGUUUUUUUAAUCAAAGAUAUUCUUUUACGAAUGAACUUGAAAUUAGAAAGCAGUUUGUCGUUUCUACGAAGGAGAUAUUAACGAGUCACUUGCUAAAGUCCAAAUACCGCUACUCCCAGUCAUCGCAUCCAACCUUGGUUACGACAAAGAGAAAUUCAAAGUAACCGAUCUAAUCAAGCUGUUACAAAGUUUUGAUCAAUCUCAAAGAACUCUUCUAAGUGAAGUUGUCAAAAUAGCGAAAUUGUUAUUGGUAAUGCCGUCCACAAACGCCAUCAGCGAAAGAUCGUUUUCUGCUUUGAAACGAGUCAAAACGUACCUUAGAUCAACAACCACGAAUUUACGUUUGAACAAUUUGAUGGUCCUCCAUAUUCAUACUGAUUCCGUUGACAAAAUGGAUUUAACUCAAAUAGGAGAUGAAUUUAUCGAUAAACACCAAAGCAGAAUACACACUUUUGGCUAUUACUAUAGAUAACAUUUUUAGUCUUUUGUUCAUGAAAUUUAUGUAAACGUUUAUUCCCUGAUUUAAAAAAAAAACUCACAAAACUGGAGCAAUUGUCUGUAUUUUCCUUUAUUUUCGUGAUUUCUAGUGAUUAAAUGUCUUUAAAAAGUACUCUCAAAAAGGCUGUUUUAGCCAAUCUAGCGCACUCAAAAUUCAAAAAAUUUCUUGGCCCGUCGGCCCCAACCAUGGCUGGGCCUCCUUAGACACUGUAACUAGGCUGGCCCCCCCAAAACGAAAUUCGUGGUUACGGCACUGCUUCUUUACAAAUUUGUUUGCUAAGUUUAUUUUUAUUUCCUUUUUCAAUAUUUUUUUGGAAAAGUUGUAAAAUUGUCUGUUUCGAAAAGCGACUUAUUUUAUUUCCACUUGAAAUUGUGUUGUUAUAGGAUUCAAAUAGAAACUAACUACACUACAUUAUGGCUUAACAAUCAUUUCAGGUUUUUGGAAAAUUAAAUUCAAGAAAUUUGUUAUUUACUAAUUAAAGCACACUUAUUUCAUUUGUUGUUUCAAAAUAAUAUAAAGAUGUAAGCUUUUCGACACAUAAAAUACUGAAAUUCAAAACCUUACUAAAUAUGGUACCAGAAAAAUAUGGUAAUAAUUUACCUUGCGUUCAAGUACACCAUGAAUUAUUAAAUACAUUAUGCCCCUCUGUUGAGUUUGUUACGAAAAAGCUUCAUUCAUUUUCACUCAUUCUGUUCAAAACUUUACUGGAAGAUAACUAUUAACAAAUUUCUAAAAUUAAAACUACAUGUACUAUCGGAUGUCAGUAUUUUUUAUCUGUGGUAAACUGUGAAUUUACUUGUAGCUAAACUAAACAAUUUUUGGCUUCUGAUAAUAAUUUUCGGUGCAAUACACUAUUAACCAUUCCGUUGAGUAUUCUAUUUAAAGUAAACUUGAUGGAUAAUUUAUCGAAUAAUUCACUGUCCUUUCAUAAACAAAUAAAGGUGGUGAUUAAAACAGCAGCUUUAAUAACAAGUAAAAUAAAGUUCUUCAUGUUUUAAAAUUUGCAUGUUCCAGAAUAAUUCCAUAAAAACAGUUUUACGCACAUUUUUCCAUUCCAUAUUACUUGCCAGAACCAGAUGAGGUACUCCCCUUGAUAUUGCAAAAAAAAAGUGAUAUGUUAUCUUGUAAAAACGUCAACAGCUUUCUAAUUUAGCCAUAUUCCUAAUACAAACUUAAACUUCUGAUAAUAUUGUGCCACAAAUGAUUUUAUAAUUGACGGCAUCAUAAAAAAUAUAUCAUAUAUUGUUUAAAUAUAUAUUUUACUUGGUUUUGUUAGCUCAAAAGUUAUAAGAUGUCAUUAGCAAAAGUAGAAAACGACAAACAUCAAUAUUCAGAACCAUGGGAUGAUUCUGAUGUGACUUUAAUUGUAGAAGAAGAAAAAUUUUAUGUACAUUCAAUGAUACUUGGUUUCGCUUCUCCUGUAUUUAAAGCUAUGUUAUCAUCUAAUUUCAAAGAAGGAAGAGAGAAGGUGAUUAACCUUCCAGGAAAAUCUAAAACGACUGUACUGGCGAUGUUAAAUUUAAUUUACCCCAUCGAAUAUAGAAUAAAAAAUUAUUCGUGUUGUCAGGCAUUACUGGAAUUUUCAAUGGAGUACAGCAUAAAAAAAGUCGCGCAGAAUGUCGAUGAUUUUCUUAAUGAAAAAUCCAGAUGUUCCUUGGACGUAUUAAAACUUGCUGAGAAGUACGAUCUAGAGAAAACAAAAAAAAAGAGCUAUUUCACAUUUUAUUACGGAGAAUAGAGCUUUUUUUGGUUCCAAUAAUCUCAAAUGCAAUUGGAAUAAUGUUUCAGAAAAAACAAAGUUAGAAAUAGUAUGUGGCAUGAUUAAGAACCUACAUGGUGACAAAGCGUGUUGUGCUUGUGGAAAUAAUAUAAAUUCCAUGUCUACAAAAUUUCUGAAUCUCACUACUGCUUCCCGUUUGUUCUGCCUUUAGCAAAUACAAAACAUUCUUCUCCCGGAAAUAACAUUCUUCUCCCGGAAAUUACGGUUAUUAAAUCCUGCAACGAAGGACAGGCCUAAACUUAAAUCAAUGUUUACAUCUGUUACGUUACGACCGUUUGAAGUAUUUUCGAUUCUUAAAUUCGAAAACGCUGCAUUGUUAUCUUCUUUGAUUUUAUGCGUGAUUUUCUGGAUUAUAAGUUUGGGUCUGUAAGACAAACUGUUCUUUUAAUAUUUUGGAUUUUAAAUAUUUCGGUAGAUAUACAAUAUCCCAAAUGAUUCAAGUUUUUAUAUUUCUCUUUUGUGUUUUCAACUAAUAAUUUCUUAUAUUUUGAGUAUACCUUUGGAAGGUUUGCCGUAUGCAAUAGACUGAAUAACUGAUUUUGUAUGACUUAACGAAAAUAUGUCGGAUUUUUUUUAAUGUUUGGUUUUUUCGCUGGUGUACUUCUGGAAUGGCAAAGCAAGUAUCUAGUUUUAGCGUAUUUCGCUUUUUAGGAAUGGUUGUAAGACACCUUUUAUUUUGGACAUUUUCCGGUUUUAUUAUUAUUAUUAUUAUUUUUGUUACACAUGCUUAUAUUUCGAAACGUUUUGUUUCAGCUGUUAUAAACAUAGAAUUAUGCAGAUUGUGAGCAACCUUUA